AUUGAACGCUGGCGGCAUGCUUUACACAUGCAAGUCGAACGGCAGCAUGGGUGCUUGCACCUGAUGGCGAGUGGCGAACGGGUGAGUAAUGUAUCGGAACAUAUCCGCAAGUGGGGGAUAACGUAGCGAAAGUUACGCUAAUACCGCAUAUUCCCUGAUGGGGAAAGGAGGGGACCCGCAAGGACCUCUCGCUUACGGACUGGCCGAUAUCAGAUUAGCUAGUUGGUGAGGUAAAGGCUCACCAAGGCGACGAUCUGUAGCGGGUCUGAGAGGAUGAUCCGCCACACUGGGACUGAGACACGGACCAGACUCCUACGGGAGGCAGCGGUGGGGAAUUUUGGACAAUGGGGGCAACCCUGAUCCAGCCAUGCCGCGUGAGUGAAGAAGGCCUUCGGGUUGUAAAGCUCUUUCAGCCGGAAAAAAAUCGCAUCACCUAAUACGUGGUGUGGAUGAUGGUACCGGAAGAAGAAGCACCGGCUAACUACGUGCCAGCAGCCGCCGUAA
rnacentral:rRNA from 1 species